rnacentral:lncRNA from 1 species
GACAAGUUAUACGUAAGCAAAGGGUUGAUUUUAGGCAGAUUAUUUAAGAGAUUUCGAGAUGGUCGCUCGCAUCUAGGCAUAUUAUCUAAUAGCAAACACACAUAUAAUAAAAUAAAGCUAAAGGAAAAGAAACAGUUAGCACGUAAUCCCCUCCCCCUUUUAACGAUCCCCAAAUUUAUUAUAUAUGGAGAGUGUUAUUGUAAAAUUAUUACAAAACAAAAUAAAUGCAUACGAAUUCCAAAAAAACACACAUAAAUUAAGUAAUCUCGUCUCAUGGCGGCUCUUCAACUUGAACUUCAAGUUCAAACCUGUUUAACAGAAUAACACCCAACACGAGAUCAUAGCGUAAUAUUAACAAAUAGAUAGAAGACAUAAAAGCUAUUCACAACAAACACACGAAUUUCACCAAGCCAUGUAAAAUCACACAUCGAAAUAAGGGGAUAAGGAAACUAGACUGGAUGCUUUCUCUUAUUUAUUUCGACACUAAUGAAGGAACUAACCAGUUAUGCAGAAUUAUUUAUCAGCAAUGAAGACCCAGUUUGAUUCUAUAUUAGACCCGAACACAGCAAAAUCGAGUAAAGCAGCACUUGGAAUAUUCACCGGAAUCUUUAAACUUUCAGAGUAGAGAGUAUUUUAUGCUCUGGUUAGAAUGGGUAAAAACAUCUCUAAGUGUGAGGGCAGAGGUCUNNNNNN